rnacentral:rRNA from 1 species
UACGUAGGGGGCAAGCGUUGUCCGGAAUCAUUGGGCGUAAAGAGCGUGUAGGCGGUUCGGUAAGUCCGCUGUAAAAGUCCAGGCUCAACCCUGGAAAGCCGGUGGAAACUGUCGAACUAGAGUCCGGAAGAGGCGAGUGGAAUUCCUGGUGUAGCGGUGAAAUGCGCAGAUAUCAGGAGGAACACCAAUGGCGAAGGCAGCUCGCUGGGACGGUACUGACGCUGAGACGCGAAAGCGUGGGGAGCAAACAGG